CGCGGCCUAUCAGCUUGUUGGUGGGGUAGUGGCUUACCAAGGCUUUGACGGGUAGCCGGCCUGAGAGGGUGACCGGCCACAUUGGGACUGAGAUACGGCCCAGACUCCUACGGGAGGCAGCAGUGGGGAAUAUUGCACAAUGGGCGGAAGCCUGAUGCAGCAACGCCGCGUGCGGGAUGACGGCCUUCGGGUUGUAAACCGCUUUCGCCUGUGACGAAGCGUGAGUGACGGUAAUGGGUAAAGAAGCACCGGCUAACUACGUGCCGGCAGCCGCGGUGAUACGUAGGGUGCGAGCGUUGUCCGGAUUUAUUGGGCGUAAAGGGCUCGUAGGUGGUUGAUCGCGUCGGAAGUGUAAUCUUGGGGCUUAACCCUGAGCGUGCUUUCGAUACGGGUUGACUUGAGGAAGGUAGGGGAGAAUGGAAUUCCUGGUGGAGCGGUUGAAUGCGCAGAUAUCAGGAGGAACACCAGUGGCGGAGGCGGUUCUCUGGGCCUUUCCUGACGCUGAGGAGCGAAAGCGUGGGGAGCGAACAGGCUUAGAUACCCUGGUAGUCCACGCUGUAAACGGUGGGUACUAGGUGUGGGGUCCAUUCCACGGGUUCCGCGCCGUAGCUAACGCUUUAAGUACCCCGCCUGGGGAGUACGG
rnacentral:rRNA from 1 species